rnacentral:rRNA from 1 species
ACUCGGGGAUAGCCUUUCGAAAGAAAGAUUAAUACCCGAUGGGAUAAUUAUUCCGCAUGGUUUGAUUAUUAAAGGAUUCCGGUAAAGGAUGGGGAUGCGUUCCAUUAGGUUGUUGGUGAGGUAACGGCCCACCAAGCCUUCGAUGGAUAGGGGUUCUGAGAGGAAGGUCCCCCACAUUGGAACUGAGACACGGUCCAAACUCCUACGGGAGGCAGCAGUGAGGAAUAUUGGUCAAUGGGCGCUAGCCUGAACCAGCCAAGUAGCGUGAAGGAUGACUGCCCUAUGGGUUGUAAACUUCUUUUAUAUUAGAAUAAAGUACAGUAUGUAUACUGUUUUGUAUGUAUAAUAUGAAUAAGGAUCGGCUAACUCCGUGCCAGCAGCCGCGGUAAUACGGAGGAUCCGAGCGUUAUCCGGAUUUAUUGGGUUUAAAGGGAGCGUAGGUGGACUGGUAAGUCAGUUGUGAAAGUUUGCGGCUCAACCGUAAAAUUGCAGUUGAUACUGUCAGUCUUGAGUACAGUAGAGGUGGGCGGAAUUCGUGGUGUAGCGGUGAAAUGCUUAGAUAUCACGAAGAACUCCGAUUGCGAAGGCAGCUCACUGGACUGCAACUGACACUGAUGCUCGAAAGUGUGGGUAUCAAACAGGAUUAGAUACCCUGGUAGUCCACACAGUAAACGAUGAAUACUCGCUGUUUGCGAUAUACAGUAAGCGGCCAAG